GGGGAAUUUUGGACAAUGGGGGCAACCCUGAUCCAGCCAUGCCGCGUGAGUGAAGAAGGUCUUCGGGUUGUAAAGCUCUUUCGGACGGAAAGAAAUCGCGCAGGUAAAUAAUCUGCGUGGAUGACGGUACCGUAAGAAGAAGCAUUGGUUAACUACGUGCCAGCAGUUGCGGUAAUACGUAGGGUGCGAGCGUUAAUCGGAAUUACUGGGCGUAAAGCGUGCGCAGGCGGCUUUGUAAGACAGGUGUGAAAUCUUUGGGCUUAACUUGGGAAUGGCGCUUGUGACUGCAAGGCUCGAGUGUGGUAGAGGGGGGUGGAAUUCCACGUGUAGUAGUGAAUGCGUAGAGAUGUGGAGGAACACCGAUGGCGAAGGCAGUUUUUUGGGUCGACACUGACGCUCAUGCACGAAAGCGUGGGGAGCAAAC
rnacentral:rRNA from 1 species